GGAGAACGUGGUCAGUUGACAGAGUGAAAUCUUUUGUUGAAGGAAACGAGUGUGACUUUUCCUCCUUUUUGUUGUUUCAGGUCUAUUAUUCUUGUGGGGCUCAGUUCAGUUCCUGGGAAAGAGGAUUGAUUUUAUCUCCUGGAUUCCCCAACAAUUAUUCAUCGGGGAUGCACUGCGUCUGGCGAUUUCUUAUCCCUGCUAAGACCUACCUAUUGUUGGAGAUCUUUGACUUUGAUGUCUUUGAAAGCCUCAGUGAAGAUGCCUGGGAUGGCUAUUUUUCUUUGACCAAAAAUACAAACAAGGAGUCGUCAUCUGGAGAAGAAACUGCAGGAUAUUCCAGCUCCAUCUUUCCAACCAAGACUUCAGUGGACCUUGAUCUUGACUCAACGGAUCCCGUUGAGGGCCUUCUCGAAGCCACUUCUCAAAACCUUGAGUGGAAAGAAUCCCAUCCAAGUGGAGAACCCAAAGACUUAGCUGUCACACAAUCAAGUAAAUUUCCAACCCAGGGAGGAACCAACAACACCUUGAUGAGUCAAGGUGGAAAACAAGAGAAGAAGGACUUGGUGGACAAAAUAGUAUUUGCUCAUUAUCCUGCUAAGGAGAUGGCCGAAGGUCCUCAGAAACAUUCAGGGAAGGUGAUUUUUGGAGACGAUGCUGCCAUUUCAACUGUGAUCUUGCCGCUGAACAUCUCUUUACUCCAUCGUUCUCGGCUGAUGUUUGUCCAGACGACGUCUUAUACGUCUCGGACCUCAUCGCUUUUUCUUCUCGUUUCUGUGGGACAAAAUCACCCUUGAACCAAAACAUGACCUUUGGGUCGUCUCUGAAGAUGGUGGAAGUUAUUGUGGAGCUCAUCACCACCACCGACCGUGGGCGAGGCUUCGCCAUGCUCUUCGAGUACAAGAACGGGACAGAGAUGAUGCCCACCAAUGAUAUCAAAGAUGGAGAAGAGAAUACCAUGAUGCUCGUGGUCAUCACUGGCAUCCUGUUCUUUGCGAUGGUCCUCCUGUCCUCCCUCUGCAUUGCAUGUAGAUGGAGGUUAUGUCUCAAAAGAAAUUCUCUGGAAGUCCACAGUGAUCAGAAAAUCAGAUCCACAACUCCGGUGUCGACGUCAGUGAACUCCAGCUGGUGAUCCCAUAUCAAGAAAAUGAAAACAACAAUCAUUCUCUUGGGAGAAAUGGCGUCGGUAAGCAGAAAUAGGAUUACGUUGUCCAAUUCUGGAAAGUUUUUGUUCAGGGUCCAAUACUCCAUUCAUCUUUGCUGUGAUAUCACACAACUGUAGGUAUUACACUGUUAUAGAGCAUCUGAGAAGAAUGCAGAGUGGGUUACAAAUGAUUCUGAAAACAUUCUUUGGUGCAAAUAAUACAUUUUGGUAUUUUCUCCAGUCACUUCCUGCCCUGGCAAUCUGGAACCCAUCAUCGAUCUAGAAGCCCCUCCAAUGUCAGCUGUCUGGGAGGUGAUGAGGUGUUCAUUAUUUCUGCCAAUCCAGAACCUGGUCGCUUGAGUUUUACUUCUUGUAAAAUACAGGACAAGAGGUUGACGAGAAGCGUCACUAGCCGACGUCCGUGUCGGAAUGGCUAAUUCCCAAGCCAACAGAGCCCAGCAUCCAGGGUCCAAUUCCCAGGGAGAAGAACCCCCCAAGGGCGCUUGUCUGAAGCCACAGGCGUGGCGCGCACGUACCUUCCAUGACCUCUUGGCUCCCUUCCCACAGCUGCAGGAGCAAUGGAGCCACUGGGCCAACAACAGUUCUUUCUCCAAAGGGGCCAAAAGCGGAGGUUUUUCAACCUCCACCCCAAACCAGCCCACCAGGAUUCAAAAUGUUCGCUCUGCCGGAGGAAACGGAAGGGACAUCUGAAGGGUCCCAUUGGAAGAUCUGGCCAGUAACCCGUGGACACCUUCGGCCCAGAAACCACAGAAGGCGACCGGUGGUUCUACCUUGAGAAGGUCCGAAUUUGCAAAACCCAUCUUUUGAUUUCUUGACCGGUUCUCCUGAUUGCGGCCCACCCGAGGCUUUCCGAGCCCUCCCAAGUUGAGAGCUCUCUGUCCCUUGUCCAAAGUCCCCGUCGGGGAGGGAAGGAUGCUCCGGAGGCUGCCCUCAGAUUGAAAAGCAAUGCCAUCAACUGUGCCAAGCCCAAGGAGGGUCCGGUAGACAUAGAAGGGCCCAAAGCAGUCUUUAUGAUCUCUGAAGAAGGGGAUGACCAACAGCCGUUGGUUUUGGCGGAGCACACCAAUCAAUACAUUGAUGUUUUGCCCAGACAAACGCUGUCCUCUGUGAAGGAGGAACAGCCACGAGGAAGGAGCAGAUGGUGGACCUAUCGCUUGAAGAUGACUUGGAGGAGGCCACCAGAAGCAGGUUGGGCAUGGAACUGUGGGGGGAGCCCUCCAGUUCUUAUCAAGAUGCCUUUCAGGGUGACAGGGAUGAUGAAACCUACACUCCUGGCCCAAAGCCAGAGUCGCUGGCCCGUCUCAAUUCAACGACAUCUCCAAACGUGCUCUUUUGAUCGUCCAUGACGGUCCUGGAAGUGGUGAAGACUGCGAUAUCUUUGGAGAUGGAAGAGGCAGACGUUCAGAAGCAGCCUUUGAUCUGCUUAGGCAGGGGCACGAUCCGGCACUCAACAACGCUCGCCCCAAACUUUUGUCUUAAGUGUUAAUGCAAUUAUUAUGGAUAUUGCUGUGGAAGCACAAUUCUUGGUCUUGACGCAUGGAGACCCAGCUGACGUUUUCCCUUCUGAAAUAAGCUUGUGUUUUUUUUUUCCAAGUUGUGUUUGACUUGGGAGGUGUGAUCAAAUCUAAAGCCUAUCAGGUUUUAGGUAAAAGCAGUGGUGGGAUUCAGCCAGUUCGCACCACUUCUGGAGAACUGGUUGUUAAUUUUCUGAGCAGUUUGGUGAACUGGUCUUUGGAAGAAAUCAUUAGGGAAGAAAACCGGUUGUUAAAUUAUUUGAAUCCCCUCACUGGAUAAAAGGACUGUUCUGGAUAUAAUCCUUAGCAAGAAAUCAACCAAAUUCUGGCCAUGAUGAAGAAAGUUCUACUGAUGUUGGAUUAUAAUUCCUUCCCCCCCCAAAAUAUGGGUAGCUCAGUGGCUAAGACGCUGAGCUUGUC